GGGCUUUGACGUUCCUUUUUCAUUUGCGGUGCGUGCGUCAUCACGUCACACCGACCUAUCAGCUGAUCUCACAGCUGAUUUCACUCCAGCUGAGACGCCGGCUUUUCGCAAGCUAGGAGGAAUAGCUGUCGGUCAACGUGCUUUCCUUUGUCCAUCCAAACGUGCAUUCUGGUCUACUCUUUGCACUCCGAUCUGUUGCCAAAUUCAACUUGGCGUGACACGCUCUCCGCCUCGUACAAGUGUAUCUACCGGUGCCAUCAGCUGUUUGUUGGCUACCCUGUUCAUCUACCAAAGCUCCGAGAGCUCUCUCCUUCUGGCUCAGCGUGGGUUUGAGUUUCCUCUGACUCGUCGGCCUUUAUUGUCUUCCUCCUCUCCUCCUCUGCUGUUGUGGAACGCGCCUUGGUGUAGCUGCAGACUCCCGGUUCGCUCUGAAUUGCUGCUGUUUUGUCCCCCCUCGAUACGUGCUUCGGACUGACGCGUCGCAGUGUCCGGUCAUCCGAGGGCUAUUACUCCGAAAGCAUUCAGCAGCCCAGCAUAAGUUACCUUGCGCAGGUGGCGCAUGUGGCCGAGUUCAGUGUGUGCGUGAAUGUAGUCUGUGUGCAGGUAAUCCCAGAGGGAGGUCCUCUUCCCCCCUGGUGGUGGGUCCGGUCACGUGGUGUGCAGUGAAUUGCAGUGCAGUGCAGUGUUACCUGUGUGUGAGUGCAAUAAUUCACCUUCACUUAGUGUGUGCAUGGGCACGAGUGUUUGUGUGUACUUAUCCAAGACCUAUACAGGGGGCUUAGUAUAAUUCCCCCCUCUUGGGUGCACCUGCCCUGUAUUUGAGAACCCUCCCUUUUGUACCGAUUUGUGUGAGUGUGUAUGUGAGUGUGAGUGUGUGUGUGCAUUGUGGUGGGAAAUAUUUUAAACUGU